ACUUUUCUCUCCCAAAUCCAAUCCAAUUUCUGAUUCACGUAUCCCCACCAGACCAAGACUCUCCUCCUUUCCCGCCGCUAUUCGUUGUAGUCCGACUCCAAGUUGGCGUCGCUGCCCCGUCUCCACACCAGACUCCUCCCUCCGCACGCCGCGAUUCGUACACCAGACACCCCCACAAAACUUAAAGAGUCACACAAAACCACGAUUUUCAGAAUUCUCUCUUCCAACCACAGACGCCGCAUCACACCAUUAUCUUCUAGCCAACCCAUUUUGAAUUCUCUCUUCCAACCACAAAGACCGUACCAUUCUCUCUUCUCUGAUCCGACCAUGUCUCCUGGCACAGUUGCUGUAAACCACCAUAUACGAUUUUCUGAAUUUUCUCUCACGCAAAUCCAAUUCUCAUUUAAUUCCCUGUCUCCACACCAAAGUCCGCCUCCUCCCGCUGCGAUUCGCCACACUCCGGCCCCAAGUCGGCGCCACUCCCUUCCUCUCUCGUCGUUUCUCACCCUACCCCCAAGUCGGUGCCGCCGUCAAUGGUUGUCCCGUUGGACAUGGCUUCAUUGACUUGGCUCUAGAGCAGUUCUUGAUUAGCCAUGGCAAGUGUUCUAUUAGAUAAGUUUUCGGAUUCCUAGCAUAAUCAUUAACAUAUAUCAAGUAUUGUGAGAUACCAAAAGGUAGAGCUCUAUAUUGUUUGGAUGUAUACAAGAAAAAAGUUGACCGGGAUUGUAAGUAAUUGUUUAUUAUGUUAUAUGAAAAUCAGCUACGUCGUUUUACCAAACUCUGGAUAUGACCAUCAUGUUAGUGGAUGAGUUAAUAUUGUUAGGAGUACAAUAGUGUGUGCUUUUAAGUAUAUAUUAGUAAAUUGUAGAUUGUG